rnacentral:tRNA from 1 species
GGAGGCGUGGCAGAGUGGUUUAAUGCACCGGUCUUGAAAACCGACGUGGGGGCAACCCCACCGUGGGUUCAAAUCCCACCGCCUCCGCCA